CUGGUCUACAGUCGAAAUGCUUCUGAAAUAAAUGUAGACAAACUUUACUCAUUUUGGGCCACUGAGAAUGAAAAUGAUGUUUGAAAUGGUGGAUUGGCUCUAGUUUUAAAAUAUGUUACGACUAUGCUACUAAGAGUUACCUUCUGAUGAUGUUUAAAGGGUUACAAAAAAAACAGGUGAAAUAUUAUUAUAUGAACAGUCAGAGAAACAUGAAAAGACCUAUGUGUACAAUUUAUCAUAAAAACUCUACUAUCAACACAAUACAAUUAUGUAGACUUAAAAUGUAAAAAGCAUAAAUAUCUUAAAAACAGUAGCCAACCAGUCAUUUUUAUUGUCAUAUUUGAAUUCAGCGUGCCAAAAUCCAUAGUAAAUAGCACAUUAUAUUUCUGAAGCAGACAACGUCUUAAAAUUUGUAGACUGGAAUAAUUCUUGCAGA